GGCCGAGGCCGAGCCCAGCCCAGCAAUCUGGCGGGCCCCGUUGGAGACCGAGGCGGUCCAGUUGUUUAAGAAGGGGAUCCCGAGGCCUGGACGAGCAGAAGGAAACCCUAGCCGCCGUCGUCUUCCUCUUCCUCUUCGUCGAAGCCAUCUUCUGGUCUGGUGCUGUUGGUAGCUAUGGCGCUGCGCACCGUUGCCGCGAAGCUGAAGGCCCCCGUCGCCUCUCUCAAGCAGGCUUGGGCGGUCUGCCGUCCUCAGGCCAAGGGUCCCAAGCUCUCUAAAGGUCUUGACUUGGAUCUUUCGGAUCCACACAUCCGCCGGGUUUUCGACGAGAACACAAAGCUAUUGAACAGGAAGCGGACGAGGGAGACUGCUGCCUUAAUUGUUUUCAUGACUGGCACGACAGGCGGUGCUCUCCUUGCCAUGCGUUAAUGAUCUAACGAGAAUCCCUACCUAUCGUUUAUCUGCCUAUCAAGCUAAAAGCUAGCUAUCUCCCUACCUAUCGUUUAGCUACCUAUGAAGGUAAUAGCUAUCUGUCUGCUGUCAUUUUGUAUUUAAGGGCACUCUAUAUCUGAGUAUUGUCUAUCUGUGGUGUCUGGGCAGAUGUGAAAUCUCUAUCUAAUUAUGUAUAAGACUUAAUGAGGUCUGUUAUUUGUAAUGGUCUUCAUGAUAUUUGUAAUGUAAGAUCUCUAUCUUGCAUGAUAUUUGUAAUGGUCUUGGUGAUCUGGUUCUGAA